UAAAUCAAAGAAAAAAUUGAUGCAAAAGGGUCGGAGUCAGAUGAUGCUGAGUUUUCAGAUUGCAUGUUGAUCUUAUUGAAAUACAUUGAGGUGGUAGAUCAGCGCAAAGAUGACAGGAAAUUGUGAUCUUUCCUUGAUUGGGGCAGUUUUGGGCACGUUUAGGUAUUUUGGCCAUAACUUUGGCUACGGGUAUCAGAAUCACGCAUAUAAUCCCAAUUCGGAAAGCUCUUUUUGGUGCGCACAUCGUGGGCACCCAGCUAUGCUCGGUGUGCAUCAUUUUUUAGGUCAAAUUCCACUAUUUUUCCUCUGAAUUCCUAUUUUUAGUUAUUUUUACACUUUAUGGUAAUAUUUCAUUUAUGGUUUAAGAAGUGAUUCUGAACUCAAUCUGAGCCAAAUUUUUUACAGAUUACUUCUUUUAUUACAUGUUUAUUUUUUGUGUGAAUAUUGGAGUUUUGCUAUUUUUGGUAAAAUUUCUGAUAUGGUCGAUUUUCAACUAUUACAGCCCGACUUGUGUGUUGAUUUCAUCAUUCUUGGAUAUUGAUAAUUUUGAAUUGAACAUCAGAGUCAUUCUCUCUAAAUUUUUUGGGCGAUUCUUUUGUCUUCCUUCCCUGUGAAUUAUCUGUUAAAACUAACCUGCAAAAUAAUCAAUAUUCUAUCCUGCGUCACUUAGCCAUGAACUUCGUCUAGAAAAGCAUUCCUCUCCAGUGGAUCUUUCUCAACCCUCAGCCAAUAUUGUUGCUCGUUCUAGUAUGUCUUCUCGCCAAGGACAUUAGUCCUCUUCUCGGUUCAACUCCUCCUUUAGAGGAAGAGGACUUGGGUUUGGCCGAUCUUCCUAGAAUCUUAGUGGGACAUCCUUUGGUAAAAAGCCCAUAUGUCAAGUCUGCCAUCGCACCAGCCAUACUGCACUUUGAUGCUAUCACAGGUUUGAUCUCACUUAUCAAGCUGAUAGUGAUGCAAACCCAUCUGCUCUUCUGGCAACUCUUCAGCCAUCUCAGGCAAUUGGUAUCCCAACACUAGAGCCAUCAACCAUAUCACCUCAGACCUCAGUAAUCUCUCACUUAGUGCUGAAUUUUGUUGUGAUAAGAAUGUGUUUUUUGAGUUUCACUAUUCUCAUUUUCUUGUCAAGGAUCAAGCCACAAGCAAACUACUCCUUCGCGAUUCGAGUAUUAGUGGUCUCUACCUCUUUUCUUCCUCUCUUCAAAUCUCCAAGAAUAAAGCUGCCUUCCUCAGUGUCAAUACAUCUUUACAAAAUUCGCAUUCAAGAUUGGGGCACCCUUCCUUGCAUCUAGUUCAUCACAUUAUCUCCAAGUGCAAUUUACCUCUAUCAUCUGUCAAAGCUACUGCUCAGUGUCCAGCUCGUUGUGCAUCUAAAAGUCAUCAACUUCCCUUCUCAUAUCAAUAUCUCAUUUGAAUAAACCUUUA